ensembl:lncRNA
GACAGCCUCAGGCAGAGGAUGGCGCCUAGCCUUGGCACUCCAGGCCCAGAAUGAAACAGCGAGGGAAGAGGGGCCACGCCCUGGGGAACACCAGACGUGGAGUCCAAGAAUGCUGUUCAGGGUCCCCUUGAGGAAGGGUCCUUGGGAGCUCAGCACCACCAAGGCCCAGCGGAGAAGAUAGGUGGCCUCCGGCCUGGUCAGUGGCGAGCAGAGAAACCUGAGAACGUCCGCCUAAUCAGCCAGCCACAGUGGCGCACGCCCAUGACACCAGCACGCAAGAGGCUGAGGCGGGAGAAUCACCACGAGUUGGAGGCCAGCCUGGGCUACAUAGCAAGACCGCGUCAACAACAAAAAGAAGAAGAUGGACCUCAGGGUCCCCGCACUCCCCUGUCCACCGCAGCUGAGACCUGAGGGCAGCCAGGCGUCCAGCGCGCUGGCGGGCGGGGAGGAGACGCGGGCGCAGGCCGGGUGGCUGGGCUGCCCGGAAGUGAAGGGGCGGAGCCACAGCCGGGCACUUCCGGCUGCAGCGGGUCACAGUACCGUGCCAGGCGCUCAGCCUGCCGCAGUGGUCUCAAUACAAGGAGACACCCUGAGCAAGGGCAGAGGGCAGGGGGCUGAGGGGAAGAUGCGGAGGGGAAGGCUGCACUAUGGAGGCGGAGUCAGCAGGGCCAGUGCCCCCGGCCUGUGAAGCAGCAGGUGAAAGGGCCAGGCGUCAGGACGUCGCCCGAUGUCCUCUCUCCUCCUCCUGCCCCUAGGAAGGCGGGCGGGGGAGGCUCAGGCCCGGGCAGAGGCCGUGCUGGUGCCUGUGUACUGCAGGAACAGACAGGCAGUCCUCACGUGGCACACGGAGGGCACAGCAGGGGCUGUGAGGGGCACGCGUGGCACACAGUCGGCACAGUGGACACCUGCCAGCACCUCCCGCUUCUCAGCGGGCACCUGCAGCCCGGGAUCAGCAUGGCCUGAGGUCACAGCAGGGGGACCCCCAGGCUGCACACAUGGGGGCGCUGGACCCACCGGCCCUUUGUGAGCCGCAGCCUCACUGCUCUCUUCCCAGGAGAUGGUGAAGCCCCUGCCUGGCACCAGGACACAGCCCGGGAGACAACUGGCAGCUGCUCAACCCUCAGGGGCCCGCAGAGCAGCCUUGCUCCCAUUCCUGCCUCCUGUCCAUCCUUCCUGAGCUUUGCGGUGAAGCCCGGGGGCAGAGGCCUCAGCCUAUGCCUCCCUGGGCGGCUAUGGCCCGCACACCGUCCUCCCUGCCUUUGCCCCUUGUCCCUGCUCUGGCUAAGGCACCCGGCAGAAUGCCGCCGCCACGCCUCGCCCUGGAGGUGGCCUUGCACCCGUAGAAGCAGGGUUCCUACUGUGAAGCUGGUCCCAUGAACUUGCUGCCUGCCCAGUUCUCCUCCUCUUCCUGUAGCUCCUUUGGGCUUUUCUCCUGGACAGCGCUGGCCAGGAGGACUCGGUGGCCCGACCCUCCUCCCCAGGCGGUGCGCCCCUGGGUCUUCUCCUUUCCCUGCUGUGCUGGCCAGGAGCGCGGAUCCCAAAGACCCUGGCUGAGGCUGCCACAGACCGCAGAGGGCACAGCAGGUGUCUUCCUGGUCCCAGCGUGCCACCCUCUCCACGGGCCCAGGCCAGCUGGACGGAGCCGUCAGCUGGAGAAGGAACAGUUGCUGAGCAGAUGGCAGCCGUCACUCCUCCCCGUGUCUGCACCGUUGGAGCCCAAGGCGCCCACUGCUUCCAGGUGUCCUGACCCCCACACCUGUGUGACCCAGACGGGCAGCACCACAGUCACCUCAGACCCCUCUCAGCAAGGAAUGUGAAUGACCCUGUUUCCGGAGAGGCUGGCUGAAUGCUCCUUCUGUAGUCCCUGGGGCCGAGCCUGUGGGAGAACAGUUCCGCUGGACUCUUGUCACUGCGGCAGGGACUGCGAGACUCCAACAGUGGGUCCCUUGGCUCCCCUGGGUGGCUCAGACCCAGCCUGUGGCCUGCAGCUCCACCAGACAGCAGCUACUGCUGCUGCUAAGUGUUCUUUCAUUGUCAAGUUAAUUUCUCUGUUUUCCUUUCUUACGUAUUUCAUGGGAUAUUUUUUUUAAAAUAAAAAAUAAAGUCCAUUCCUUUGUUGAAUCUGUGUUUCUGAGGAACAUUUUCUGCUCUCGCUCUGCC